rnacentral:rRNA from 1 species
AUUGAACGCUGGCGGAAUGCUUUACACAUGCAAGUCGAACGGCAGCACGGGUGCUUGCACCUGGUGGCGAGUGGCGAACGGGUGAGUAACAUAUCGGAACGUAUCCAAUAAUGGGGGAUAACUAAUCGAAAGGUUGGCUAAUACCGCAUACGCCCUACGGGGGAAAGCUAGGGACCUUCGGGCCUGGCGUUAAUGGAGCGGCCGAUAUCUGAUUAGCUAGUUGGUGGGGUAAUGGCCGACCAAGGCGACGAUCAGUAGCUGGUCUGAGAGGACGACCAGCCACACUGGAACUGAGACACGGUCCAGACUCCUACGGGAGGCAGCAGUGGGGAAUUUUGGACAAUGGGCGCAAGCCUGAUCCAGCCAUUCCGCGUGAGUGAAGAAGGCCUUCGGGUUGUAAAGCUCUUUCGCAAGGGAAGAAAACUUAUCCUCUAACAUAGGAUGAGGUUGACGGUACCUUGAUAAGAAGCACCGGCUAACUACGUGCCAGCCGCCGCAGUAACAC